CAGGCAUUUGCUUAGUGACAGUUUUAUUAUGUUGGUGCACGCUUUCAGUCGCUGCAUUAGUUACUGGCAAAUUCUGUAAGAGUGUCCUCGUAAUUAAAUUAUUAUUAUUAUUAUUAUUACUCAGAAAAGAGAAGAAAUCGAGAGAAAAGUUAAAGCAUGAACGUUUCGAGAAAGAGAAAGGCACACGAACAACCCAGCAAGAAUUUUCGUUUGAGCACCAAACUCCAGAUAUGGAGACACGCUUGAAGGAUCUUUUGAGGGAACUGGAGUGUCCAGUCUGUAUGGAGUGCAUUACGCCUCCCAUUCCGUUGUGUGAGAACGGCCACAGUGUAUGCAACACCUGCAGGCAAAAUCUCAUAAACUGCCCAAUCUGCAAAAGUCGGUUCUCAACCAUGAGAAGUUUCCUUCUUGAGAUAUUGACCAGCAAAAUGAAGUAACCUUACGAAUAUUACAAUCGAGGAUGUCCGAGGGCAUUUUACCUUAAAUUCCAAGAUAAUUUUCCAGAAGAAGAAGAUGAAGACGAAGGAGAGGAAGAAGAAGACGACGACGAAGAAGAAGAUGAAGAAGUUAAACAAUUUUCGGAACGAAUCCACGCUGAAUUUCCUAACUUAUCUCUUGAAGACAUAUUUUCAAUUUUGUACGAACUUCAGGAUCCAUCACCACCAUCAGACACCUCUCCUAAAAGGAAGAAGAUGAAGAUGAUGAAGAAGAAAAAGAAGAAGAUUAAGAAAAAAAUUAAAUCAUCAAUGAGAACGGUACUAAUAUGGUUAGGGACCAUGCUUUUGUAAUGAAAGAGAUUAAUUAAAAACUUCAGAGUAAUUUUUUAAAAAAACAA